rnacentral:lncRNA from 1 species
ACUUCAUUCCUGUGGAGUCUCCUGAACGCAGACCCAGCUUUAUCAGUUUUGCUCCUGGCUUUACUUUUCUAUGCUCUUUGCCACUUAAGUCUACAAAUAUUUGCUAAUAUUUGAUGUUACGCUAAAACCCACAUGGUUAGGGGGAUUGUAUCCUCAUACACUACUCAAUGAAGCAAAGAAGCAAACAAGAACAAGAACAGAACUACUCAACUGGUUAUUUCCAUGAUUCCUAAAAAUUACUAAAAUGCUUUUUCAAAAGGUAGAAUGGAUGUUUAAUGCAAGGCUUGAAGAGAUACUGGGGUGCCUUUUUCUGAUUCUGCCUGACACACACACACACACACUCUAAAAAAAAAAAAAAAGAGAGUCUGCUGGAGUAUGGCACUGUGACUUGAACUGAAUGAGAAAUAAUUAGCUGUUAUGGAAUGCUGUCCUUCCUGAGGAUGAAAUUGAAAGGCAAACUGAUGUGAGUGGAUGACUAGGUAGAAUAAGCCUAUGAAGAGAAGCAUGUUGUGAUCCAAACUGACUCCAUUGAGGUGGCACAAGAACAGAGAAAGGGAGAAUAUAGAUGAUAUAAUUCCUAAAUUUGAGGGAAAGACAAAACUGCUAGAGAGUUAUGAGAUUGUUCUACUCCUCAUCUCUGUGGUGUGUGCUCGCUAGCCGUCUCAUCUUCAGCAUAAGAGGAACUGUGAUAUUCAGCUGAAUGAAUCAUAAUCUACUUGAAAUACACUCAUAAAUGGAAGAUCCUAUCUGUACUUGUGUGAUCCAUCAGAUAAAUAAUUUUAAUUUGGUAAAUUAAAUUUAUUUAUUUCACUUAAACCUCCGUGAGAAUAUGUAGAGAGAUCCUAAGAACAGUCUGCUUACUUUUCUGUGUUUUAACAAAAUGGGAAGUACAACUGUUAUCUAUAGACUGUUAAAUGCUCAGAAAUACUGAACAUGAGAAGAGUCCUCCUGGUGUACAGUUGUUCACUUGUGCUCUGUCUUCACUCUGUGUCCCUCCACCUGUCUACUGUGGACAGCUUCUAAGCAGUUUGUCUUGGAUGGUGAUCUGUUUGACAAAGUGAAGACAUGGGAUCUUGUUGAUUUGUUUAAGUUGUUUUUCAGUAUUUGCUGAACUUGCAAUUUCAGAAUCACUGAUUGACGGACUCCUAAAAACAUUUCUUGGAUAUGCCACAGAGAUAAUGAAUGGCACUGAACUAGUUAAUAAGGGGUGGAGCAAGCAGCAGAUUUAGGCACUAUGUCAGUACUUCAAAAUUCCUGGAUGAAGUCUUCCACUAAAUUCUGAUGUUUGAUAAAAUUUGCUUAAUUCCUUUACUUAAAAUAAUAAUAAUAAUAAUAAUCUGUUCAAACAAUUAUACUGCUUACUAGCUAACUGAAGCAGACAUAGAUCAGAAACUGAAGGGCAGUGGCAAAGCUAUAUUUGAGAAAUGCAACAAUAUAUCUCAUGUAAUAGUUAACUCAUACCAGUGUUAUUAAUCUCAUUCUUUCAGGAGCAUUAACAUUUGUUUUGUUAUUAUGUUCUUGAUUACAUGCCAGUUUAAUGGGAUUUUGAAAGAAAUCAUUAAAGUCAUUAGUAGAGUAGAUAGAAAAUAUACUGAGAUCUAGUUACUCUUACUAGUAAUUAAAAGCUUGUUCAGGUUAGCUAUUUUAAGAGUGCAUUUUAAUUUUCUUUGAGCUGUUUAUUUCAAGGCCUCCUUUAUAAUUACUGUAUUAAGCAUUUCUUGUACUUGAAAGUUAAUGAUAAUGUCUUUGCAGCUGUACUACAUUAGCUACUUUUAUACAGAACUAUUGUGACUAUUAGUUAUAAACAUUUGCAUUUUCUUAUAUUAGGUAAACAUUUAUAUGAGUGUAUCAGUAUUUAUAUGCCCAGUGCAACAUUUAAAUAGUGAAAAGUAAUGAUUUUUUAAUGUAACAUUUAUUUGACCUCUUCAAUAAGGUUUUGCUUAUUACCAAAUCAUCCACAUACGUAUCUGCAUUUCCCUGGGCUUAGAGACUAAGCAGAACAGAACUAAUCUAGCUUUAAUAUUCAAAAGAACAGAAUUUCAGUGGCUUAUUUAUGAGAAAUACUUAUUUCUCUUCUUGUAUACCAUAUGGUAUAGGAGAUCUUUUCUAUUCAGAAGAGAAUAAAACAAAAAUACUCAUUGGUUCCUCCUUAACAGUUAAUCCCUGUUUUGGUGUGAAGAUUCCUUUGAAAUAGCAAGUGAAGUUAUAAAAUUUAACCAUCUAAUGUCUUAAAAAUAAACUGCUUUUUAUACCCU